ensembl:lncRNA
GCCCCCGCCGGAAGCAGCGCCCGGGAUGGCGGCGGGCGGCAGCGGGGCGUAGCGCCGGGCUCGCCGCCAUGCCCAAGUACUACGAGGACAAGGAGGAGGACGGGCGCGCCUGCAGCGGCGUGCGGGAGGACCUGCGGCAGUGCCUGCUGGAGAGCCCCUGCGUCCUGCGGGAAAACAAAAGCCCUAAACAAUGCUUGAGGGAAGGACACUGUAGGAGUUUGCAAGUGACAUUCUUUGCAUGCAAAAGAUCAAUGUUGGAUACCAGGGCAAGAUUCAGAGGAAGGAAAGGAUACUGAAGUCCUCGUCAAGAGACCUCACCAUGGAGCUUUGGGGUUCAUCAGCACUCUACACAAAACAGAGACUAAAAUAAGAAGAUAGUACCGUACCUGCUGCAUCCUUUCAUACAGUGUUUUCGUGGAAGGUAUCUACUCCUGAGUGUUCCAGCAGAUUAACCUGGAUGUGCAUUUAAAUGUUAAAAAGAAGGCAAGCAUAAAGCUGAAAGUUCUGGCCAAAAUGGGUACUUGUCAUGUACUUGCAAUAAAAAUGUGAAAUCCAGAACAAGCUGCAGAAGCUGUAAUUCUGUUUUGAAGUGGUCUUUUGUGACUUUACUGUAAAUUCUGAUAAUCUUUUACUAUUGGAAAUAAUACAAGGUAUGGAACUGGGAGUUCGCUUAAUGUGUUGAGGAAGAGUUUCCUUAGUAGAUGACCAUCUCAGAGGGUUUCUCAGACUAGAGAUAUUUUCAGAGAUGAGGACUUGACCAAGGUUGUAAAAUGUGUGUGCAAGCUGCUUCCUCUCCAGUAGAUUUGCUACUCAAUAAACCUGUAACAGAUGAAAGCAGUGCUGUUUUUCAGUUCCACACUGCUAAGGAAGUGGGAUUUAUGGGAGUAAGAAGCGUUAAAUAGUGCUUGAACCAUGACUGUGGUAAAUGUUAACUGGUUGUGUAUAAGACCUGCUUUUCCAAAGGAACAUUUCCUUUUUCUUCCUUCAGUGUCCCUGCCUCUUUAAGUGUCAAGCCUUUAAGAAAUAAAUGGUGUUGUAACUCUUACAUGUGGAAACUCAAAUAACUUCAGACUGAAGUUAUUUAUGAAGCAAGAUGAGGAAAUCGUGAGAAGGGAGAGAGCUAUAGUAACUUCUUUUCUUGGCUGAAGUUUAUAGCCAUGUAAUGAUCACAUUCAGUCUGAACAGAUGCAUGCUACACUUAUUGUGUGUUUCUAAAACUGAUGACUUCAGUGAAUGAGCACAUGUUGACUAUUUAAUUCUGUCUUAAGCAACUGUUCUGUAAUGAGUCAGAGAAUGUUUACAUUCCGUGUAUGUGUAGGACUUUAUUUUUGCCACCUAAAUCAACUCUGAUUUCAUAUUUCUGUGUUCUGCUGAUCAUGUGGAAACUAGUUCAUUUGUUCAAGUGCUGUAAGCAUCCUCUGUUUUCCACAGCCUACUUACCAUAUUAUCUUUUUACAUACACUAAAAUGAUCAUUUAUGUGUAUAAGAGUAUUUUUAACUUUAACACUCUAAUUCUAAAGUAUUACUCACAAGCUUUUUCCAUGGGGAAAAACAUAAAAAAGGUACUAAAAAUAAAUAUAAUGCCAGAUGGCAGGUAUUUUAAUGUCAUUUAAAGAGAGGAGUGGCAAUGGUAUGUGAGUUUGGUAGUCAAGGAGUCUCCCAUGGUAUGCCCAUGGUAUACAUGGGUUUGUAGGUUGAUUGUUCAAGUGAUCUUUAUUCCUUUCUCAGCCAUAAUCACUAAGCCUCUCCUAAUGGUCCUAAUGGACCAGAAACAUUGCUACAUCUUAGACAGACUUAUUUCUAGUAAUCAGCUUGAUCCAGUGGAGACCAAGUGUUAAAAUUAAAUCUAUUGAAUAUUUAUGGUUUAGUAAUUAACAGAACACAUGUAUUAUUUGAUCCAAAAUAAUGUUAGUGUCAAAACUUCCUAAUGGUUCACUAAACUACCUAGGACGGUAUGAAAAUACUGUAACAUCAGUAGUUUGAUACUGAUUUGCUCAAGAGGCUUGUUCAAUUCCAAUAUUGUGUAACAUAAUACUCUGUCUAAAGAUAAGUAAUUAUAUAAUUGUCUUGGGACUUUGAGCACUGUCCUGUUUGAGAGAUAUUAAUGCUCCUUUGGGAAAAAGUUCAUUUCAUUAAUGCCUUAAGUCCUAUGCAUUUGAUUACAGCUUUUUCCCUAAGCACAAAAUGUUUUUAUUUAAAUAUAUUGAUGUUUUUGUCUCAUGCCUUGUGCUACUUUACUGACUUUUACUAAAAAAAAGACAUGUUUCUAUUCUUUGGUAGAUUUUGCAAGAUGAGAUCUGUGAAAUUGGGCUGUUGAGGGCCAAUGGUUGGCAUGGUGGCAAAAGGCUAAUACUAGUUUCAGAAUCCCAAAUACAAGCAGUGCUAAUAAUUUGUAUUGAGUAAGUAACGAAUGGAGUUUGCAAAGACCUCACUGCUGCUCUUGUCUUCUCAUUUGUUUUCCAUGAUGGAGAGUCAGAGGGUGCUAAAUGCUGUCGAGACUGAUGUUGCAGUCUGUGGCUCUGUGAGUGUUAGGACCUGUCUGUGUUACAACAUCCUGUUCCAGCAAUUAAAAUGUUCUCUCUGUGGUCCAGUCCUGCAAACAGUUGUAUUUACAGAGCUGUAAACACAUACUUCAGAACUGCUCACAUGUUUAUGAUGAUAAAAAAUAGGCUGUGGUUAUUUACUCUGAAAAUUCUUUAGGCUGUUAACUGUUCUUUCAAGUUAGUACAGAGCGAUAAACAUAUGAGUCUGUUUAACAAAGGCCCAUGUGUACAUAUGUUGAAAAGUGAGGGAAAGGCCUUGGUAUUUAAAAAGUACCACACAUUUAGUAUUUAAGAUGUGCCUCUCAGAAGGAGAUAAAAUACAAAGUAUCUCUAAAACCUUACUUUUGAAAUAUUUUCUGCACCUGGACUGGGUGCAUUUGUAUUAAAAAGAGCUUCAUUAUUCACUGGAUGGCAUAAGGAAUUGGUUGUCCAGUCUCUCUUCACUUCUUAAAGUUUCUGGAGAUUAGCAGGUUGGAUGAGAUGCUUUUAUCCAAAGAAAACAUUUAAAAUUACAUGUUUUCAGUGAAAACUUGGAACAAACUAGGUUGACACCUUCUACUCACAAGAGCAGCAUUAAAUGAAGUCAUCAUCUAAAAAUGCAGCCACAGAAUGUAGGUGGUAAGCAGUAUUUGUUGUUCAAGCCUGUGGUUAGAAAAUUUACAAAAACAGAACUCUGGCAGCUUUGUUAGCAUGAUGAAUUUUAUGCUGCCUUGAUAUGUGGUCAUUUAGAAUCUAAAUACAUUUAGAAUGCAUUUAUUGUAAAUAUGUGUCUUGUCUAAAGCUGAAGAGCACAACAGCUUAAUUCCAGUCGUAAGUUGUAGUUGACAGAAUAAUGACCAGAAACCUUAAGAUCCUUUCUCAUUUUUCUUUUUCCAAAUCUACCUGCUGAAUUUUCUGGUUUUAUUGCAGAUAUCUUCAGAAAAUAAUUAACCAGUUAUUUCUGUAAGUGGCACAUUUCACAAUGACUUGGUUGGCGGUCUGUAGAAAAUUCUGUAAACAUAGAGAGCAGCUUCUUGAAGUGGACUAUGCUUUAUUUUCAGGAUUUGCAGUAGGCUAAUUUAUAAUGUUCUUGAACACUGAAAGUGGAAGAAGCAACAAGGUUAGCAUUUUAACAGUUGCUUAAUUAGGUACUAGAAGGUAAUGUAUUUCAAGUAAUGAUGUAUUUUAGUAGCUGAACAUUGGAAAUAUAUUUUUAUGUCAAGCUGAGAUUGGUGUGUCUUGAUGGAGGCUUUCAUAUGCAAUAUUCUUUCUCGGCUGGCCUGUAGGUACUAAUGGGCUGCAGUGAAAUGGAAUGGAAUAAUUUCCCUAAAGAUAUUUUAGUAGCAGAGGAAAUAUUACAAGUAAAUCUCUGUGACCUAGAACAAGAUUUUUUAAAUCUGCAGUAUUGCUACUAUUGCUUUAAAAGGAGCUACAGAAAAAUAGCAAAGCAGAAAUUGGAUCGGAAUUCAUAAGUUCUAAUGAUAAACUGUGCUACUGUAAAAUUGUAUUGUGUUGUCUUUCAUUACCAAUCGAAGAGGAAUAUGAACUUUCCCAAGUCAAUUUCUGACAGGAACUUCAGAGGGUCUUUUGGUAAGGAAAGUUUUGAAGUCUUUCUGAGGUCACAAAGGUCAAAUAUUUAUUAGCUGUUUUCUCAAGGUUUUAGUUCUGUAGCAGCUGUACCUCACCAACAGUCAUAGCAGGAUGAUUUCUGGGAUUCUUAGUGGGAAGAAAUCUGUUGCUGGAUUGUUGGCAUGCUGAGGAAGAUGAGACUUAAUAGUGCGUUGAGGGGAUUGAUAAUUGAAUGUGUAAAAAUUUGUGUUGGUCAAUUUAUGGGCAAAAACUCCAUAAAGCCCUUUAUCAGCUGAGAUGGGAAAUUCAGGUCCCUUCCUACUUUAUAUUACUAGUUAAGGUAACAGUAUGACACUUUUCAUCUAGUCUGAACUUCUGUGAAGCUUUUUAUGCCAGAAAAAGCAUUAGGUCUUGAAAAUGGUAUAAAAUCUGAUUAUGUUUUCUCUUGAUGGAAUAUUUCAAUAGCUAGUAAUCGCUCUGUAGAAAGAGCAUGGGUGUAUUGUGAUUACAAUUUGACUUCAGUUUUCACUUCUUGGAAAAGAAGGGAUGGCUCUGCAAGAGGUGAGUAGUAUCUUAUGUCGUCCUGCUGGAAUGCAUUUGAAUGUUAAAAAAAAAAAAGAUGCAGUGAAAUGCAUGGGUUGACUUCCUAAAACCUUGUGUUAUACCUGCCUUCCUUAGUCCCAUCACCGUGAGGGGGAAUUUGCAAUCUUCUUCUAAGAAGGAGAUAAAUCUCUAUUACUGUUUUUUAUAUUGAUCUCUGUACAGGUAAAAUCCCUGCUUUCUUUGUACACUAUUGAUUGUGCUUCCAGGGUGAGUGUCACAUUUUGUCACUUAACACACCACGCUAAGUUGAGAUCUUGUGCUCAAUCCCCUGUCCCUUAUGACCUUGAUCCCUUUUUCAGAGUCAGUAGUUUUUCACUCUGAUGUUUUCCCAGUGUAUGGCUUGUUUUCCCAGGGUAUAGCUUUGUGUUCUUUUCCUGGAUGUGUAACCUGAGAUGUGGGUAUUGAAGAAUAAUAGAAGUUUUGAACAGCAUGCUUUAUCAUUUGUUGCAGAACUUCUGUGUGAUGGCCCAGUUCUUUUGUUCAUCAGUGUCAGCUGUUGGGUUGUCCACAAAUACAAUUGGCAGUGAGUUUAUGCAUACAUACACACCUUUGAAGAAAAUGUGAAAUAAUCUUAAACCUGGUAAUGCUCCCAGAGCAGCUCUUUAAGUACUCUACCGAAAUACAAUUCCCUUCUAUUUGUGAGGUUUUGUUACAUAUAGAUUAGGAAAACAUAAUCUUAGGAAAACAUAAUCUUACAAAAAAAAUAGGUAAAUGGAAAACCUCUCUAGCAUAUCCAUUCCUACCCUGCUGGGUUUUCUUGUAUUUUGCCCUGGGCAAUUCAGACUGCUCUGCCUACAAAUAAUAUGGUGACUCUCCACAUCCUCCAACACUGGUGCAACAUAAGGCCCUUGUGGUCCUUUGGGCUUUAGUGCUGUUUCAAUGCCUUAAUACUAAAUCAAUAUCAAUAGCAAACAUCGUUCUUCCAGAGUCCUUGUUGGGGAGCUGUCCAAAUCUGCUGUUUAAAAAGGUUGUACUUUGAUUGAUGAUGAUUAAUAAUGUCAUCAGCUGCAAAUAAACUCUGAUUUUUUUUUUCUGUCAAAA